CAAAGCCCUGCAAUAAGAAGCACAUCUCUAAUCCACUUGGGUUCUGUGCAGUUUCCAGAGAGUAGGCUCUUGGUGUGGAGAUUGUUUUCUGAAGAUCACUGCAAUGGAGCAACAGUGGAGCAGGAGUUUCCCUUUCAUCCCUAACUACGAGAGUCGAAAGAAUAAACUGACAAGACAGAAUCCUUCUGGGCUGGUGGAGAAAGGCUGGCGAUGGUAUGGAAAUUUAGACUACUGUUGAAAGUAAUAAAAGGAUGGCAAGCCUGACAGUCA
rnacentral:lncRNA from 1 species